AUACGGAGGAUCCGAGCGUUAUCCGGAUUUAUUGGGUUUAAAGGGAGCGUAGGUGGAUUGUUAAGUCAGUUGUGAAAGUUUGCGGCUCAACCGUAAAAUUGCAGUUGAAACUGGCAGUCUUGAGUACAGUAGAGGUGGGCGGAAUUCGUGGUGUAGCGGUGAAAUGCUUAGAUAUCACGAAGAACUCCGAUUGCGAAGGCAGCUCACUAGACUGUUACUGACACUGAUGCUCGAAAGUGUGGGUAUCAAACAGGAUUAGAUACCCUGGUAGUCCACACAGUAAACGAUGAAUACUCGCUGUUUGCGAUAUACAGUAAGCGGCCAAGCGAAAGCAUUAAGUAUUCCACCUGGGGAGUACGCCGGCAACGGUGAAACUCAAAGGAAUUGGCGGGG
rnacentral:rRNA from 1 species